GAUGAACGCUGACAGAAUGCUUAACACAUGCCAGUCCACUUGAAUUUGGGUUUUUACCUUAGGUUUGGGUGGCGGACGGGUGAGUAACGCGUAAAGAACUUGCCUCACAGCUAGGGACAACAUUUGGAAACGAAUGCUAAUACCUAAUAUUAUGAUAAUAGGGCAUCCUAUAAUUAUGAAAGCUAUAAGCGCUGUGAGAGAGCUUUGCGUCCCAUUAGCUAGUUGGAGAGGUAACGGCUCACCAAGGCGAUGAUGGGUAGCCGGCCUGAGAGGGUGAUCGGCCACAAGGGGACUGAGACACGGCCCUUACUCCUACGGGAGGCAGCAGUGGGGAAUAUUGGACAAUGGACCGAGAGUCUGAUCCAGCAAUUCUGUGUGCACGAUGAAGUUUUUCGGAAUGUAAAGUGCUUUCAGUUGGGAAGAAACAAAUGACGGUACCAACAGAAGAAGUGACGGCUAAAUACGU
rnacentral:rRNA from 1 species